GAGUGUGCGCGCUAUGUAAGAGGAGUCCUUAAAAAUACAUAUUUUCCAUAUGAUAUCGGGUGUGUUUUUUAUUAAUAAACAUGUCUGUUAGGUCGACUUCAUAGGUACUUCAUCUUCUAUUUCGUAUCGGAUUUAUAUUGGGUGUUGGACCACAUCAAGUCUAAUUAGUGCUUGGAAAAUUAAGUACAACUUUAAGCCUUUCAAACUCAUAGACCGCAGCUAUGGAACAAUAACAAAAGUGUGAACUGGAAGCAACAAAGUUGUGGAAAAUGACCAGAAGCAGCUAUCGAUGGUACCAUAUUAACUUACCAAAGAGUUGUACAGUUCCAGUAUUCCACCUUCCGUCCGUGCACGAGUUGUGCUAUGUUGGAACACUGAAGAUGAUGACUAUGAUAACUAUGACGAGGACCACCACCACUCCAGCUGCAAUGAAGGCAACUUUCAUCUUCUUGUUCUUCCACCGUUGUGUUUCUUUAACUUGGUUGGAUUUCUUUUCAAAGGCUUUACUCUGGGAAGCACAGACAGGAAAGGGAAUGUUAAAGUCAUGCAAGAUUGGGAUUACGCAAUCGACUGGUGUUGGGAAUGUUGUGUCAACACAAUCUGGGCUUUAGGCAAAAAAAAAAAAAAAAGUGUUGCGACUAUUACUCAUCAGUGACAGACCGUUGAAGGGAAAUCCAAUGCCAUCUUCAUGAAACGUAUACAGUAGGUCCUCACUCUAUGUCUAUAUUUAGCCUUUUUGAUAGUCUGUGUAGGACAACAUGAGGUGUCGGUGUAAGGCAAUAUUGAGCAUAUCAAUUACAAAUCAGUGAAUUUGACUAUUGAAGAGACUAUGGAGGACUCUAAGUGGGUUUCGAACAGAGGAUAAGGGAAUCUUUCAUUCAUUUUCUACCGCUUAUCCUCACAAGAGUCGCGGGGGGUGCUGGAGCCUAUCCCAGCUGUCUUCGGGCGAGAGGCGGGGUACACCCUGGAGUGGUCGCCAGCCAAUCACAGGGCACAUAUAGACAAACAACCAUUCACACUCACAUUCAUACCUAUGGACAAUUUGGAGUGGCUAAUUAACCUAGCAUGUUUUUGGAAUGUGGGAGGAAACCGGAGUACCCGGAGAAAACCCACGCAUGCACGGGGAGAACAUGCAAACUCCACACAGAGAUGGCCGAGUGUGGAAUUGAACCCUGGUCUCCUAGCUGUGAGGUCUGUGCGCUAACCACUCGACCGCCGUGCCGCCCGAUAAAGGAAUCUUAAAGAACUAAAUCAUAGAAUAAGAACCAGAUUGUUUAUUCCUGACAACAAUACCUAAUACAGACAUCCGGGCUUAUCUGCAGUCCCUGUAUACCUACAAGUAAGCGGGUCUUAUUACAGCGCAGCUGCAAAAAGCACCCUUCUUUUCCCUGCCCGGCCUUUUAUACAAUCUUGAGUGUACAGAGGCUAUGUAGAGGCUGGAGUCCUGGACCAAUCCGUUUUCGCCACUGACCGACUGUAUGCCUACAAGUAAGCGGGUCUUAUUACAGCGCAGCUGCAAAAAGCACCCUUCAUUUUCCCUGCCCGG